UGGAUGGAUCUGGACUUUGGUUUUGACAACUUGAUAGCUCUAGUGGGACAGUUACUUUUCUGAUUCUAACAUCCUAGUAGGAGGGAAAUAGUCACUAGUAAUAAAUGGGAGAGGUUCUUUUAGAUGUGCAAGGUGUGUGAAGAAUGUAACACAUUUAUCUAUGGGAUUUACAGGGCUGGGGUAACCCUCAAUCUGCAGAGGGUAGAGGGAGCUGAAGCUCUCAUGUAGGUACCUCCACUGAUUCUCAAAGUGUUGUAGAGGAAAUUAUCCUUGUGGUACACUACAGAUGACCAAGAAGGACUGGCUGGAGAGGGAUUGCUCUGAAGUGUAUCUGGGUUUAUCAGAAUCCCUUUGCCAUUCCUGAAGUAGGAGCGUGAAAGAUUCAUUACUUGACAGAGCAAAUAAUAUAUUUUUUUCACCGAACAAGUAAUAAAUGAAUCGGAGGAAGAAAGAUUUUUAAAUAUCAAUGGACUCUGUUCAUGGUCAUAUUGCAUCACAAGGAAGAAAAGACAAAAAUCAGUGAAGGAGUUUCAAGAACAUUCAGUAUCCCUUCAUCACCUGCCUAGUUUAGAAGGAUGCCAGCAUGAACCUGUCUUUCUUUCCCUAAUGGAGACUUGGUUCCUUUUACUGAAGUUCUGAACUUGUAGUCCUUCCACAUAUAUGGAAAACUGAUGCCCAUAGGGAUGGACCUCAAUAAAAAUACAUGAAUGGCAUAGGAGAGAGUCUCUGUCAGUGAAGAAAGAUGGCACUUAAGCUCAGGGGAAGAUGAGCAGGGAUUGCACAAGAAAGCAGUUCUGUAAACACCCCAGCUGAAGGAAGAGCUGCUGCCUGAGCUUUCUCCAUCAGUGGAGAUAUGUAAUAAAAAGGGCUUCAAAAUUGCCUUUUGGUUACUCUCCAUCACAUCUCAGUCUUUUUUUUCAGAGUAAGCUUUGCAAAUGGGACAAGGUUAAUAAAAGCUGCUUUGGAAG